UCUGGUGUCAGCCGCCCCCUAUAAAACCAGCACCUCAAGUGGUCAGGAUGAUUAUUGGGCCUAAAGCAUCCGUAGCCGGCUCUAUAAGUUUUCGGUUAAAUCUGUACGCUUAACGUACAGGCUGCCGGGAAUACUGCAGAGCUAGGGAGUGGGAGAGGUAGACGGUACUCGGUAGGAAGGGGUAAAAUCCUUUGAUCUAUUGAUGACCACCUGUGGCGAAGGCGGUCUACCAGAACACGUCCGACGGUGAGGGAUGAAAGCUGGGGGAGCAAACCGGAUUAGAUACCCGGGUAGUCCCAGCUGUAAACUAUGCAAACUCAGUGAUGCAUUGGCUUGUGGCCAAUGCAGUGUUGCAGGGAAGCCGUUAAGUUUGCCGCCUGGGAAGUACGUACGCGAGUAUGAAACUUAAAG
rnacentral:rRNA from 2 species